AGGACUAACGCUGGCGGCGUGCCUAACACAUGCAAGUCGAACGGACACCACUUUGUAGCAAUACAGAUGAAGUGUUAGUGGCAGACGGGUGAGUAACACGUAGUCAACCUGCCUUACCGCCCGGGAUAACUAGCCGAAAGGUUAGCUAAUACCUGAUACGAUCGUCGAGCGGCAUCGCUUGACGAUGAAAGCAGCAAUGCGCGGUUAGAGGGGGCUGCGGCCCAUUAGCUAGUUGGUGAGGUAAUGGCCCACCAAGGCAACGAUGGGUAGCUGGUCUGAGAGGACGACCAGCCACACUGGGACUGAGACACGGCCCCAGACUCCUACGGGAGGCAGCAGUGAGGAAUUUUCGGCAAUGGGGGAAACCCUGACCGAGCAACGCCGCGUGCAGGAGGAAGGUCUUCGGAUCGUAAACUGCUUUUCUCGGGGAAGAGAACGGACGGUACCGAGGAAUCAGCCCCGGCUAACUCGUGCCAGCAGCCGC
rnacentral:rRNA from 1 species